AAAGCCGGAUUAAUACCGCAUACGCUCUGUGGAGGAAAGCGGGGGAUCUUCGGACCUCGCGCUCAAGGGGCGGCCGAUGGCAGAUUAGCUAGUUGGUGGGGUAAAGGCCUACCAAGGCGACGAUCUGUAGCUGGUCUGAGAGGACGACCAGCCACACUGGGACUGAGACACGGCCCAUACUCCUACGGGAGGCAGCAGUGGGGAAUUUUGGACAAUGGGGGCAACCCUGAUCCAGCAAUGCCGCGUGUGUGAAGAAGGCCUUCGGGUUGUAAAGCACUUUUGUCCGGAAAGAAAACCUCUGGGUUAAUACCCUGGGGGGAUGACGGUACCGGAAGAAUAAGCACCGGCUAACUACGUGCCAGCAGCCGCGGUAAUACGUAGGGUGCGAGCGUUAAUCGGAAUUACUGGGCGUAAAGCGUGCGCAGGCGGUUCGCU
rnacentral:rRNA from 16 species